GACGAACGCUGGCGGCGUGCCUAACACAUGCAAGUCGAACGAGGUCCAUGCAGUGGCAACACUGCGGAAGACCUAGUGGCGAACGGGUGAGUAACACGUGAGGAACCUGCCCCGAAGACCGGGAUAACCCUCCGAAAGGAGAGCUAAUACCGGAUACCCCCACCGGAUCGCAUGAUCUGGUGAGGAAAUGGAUUCCGCUUCGGGAGGGCCUCGCGGCCUAUCAGCUUGUUGGUGGGGUAACGCCCACCAAGGCAUCGACGGGUAGCUGGUCUGAGAGGACGAUCAGCCACACUGGGACUGAGACACGGCCCAGACUCCUACGGGAGGCAGCAGUGGGGAAUCUUGCGCAAUGGGCGAAAGCCUGACGCAGCAACGCCGCGUGGGGGAUGAAGGCUCUCGGGUUGUAAACCCCUUUCAGCAGGGACGAAUCAAGACGGUACCUGCAGAAGAAGCCCCGGCUAACUACGUGCCAGCAGCCGCGGUAAU
rnacentral:rRNA from 1 species